UUUGCGGCCUCGUGAAGCUGCUCCCUGCACCGACCGUUGCUCGUGGGCGCAUCGAGGCCGCAGAAAGCAACUCAAAGAAUAAAAAGGCGUGACUUCCGGAGGCUCCGGAGACACGUGCGAUGUUCCUUGGACAGACUUCCCGCCGUCCACGGCGGCGGCGGCCUCGCGCUGUAGCCGCCGCCUUUCUUGCGGCAGGUAGAUUAAAGACGACAGUCAGAUAUUGUUUGACGCAGGUGAAGCUCUUCCUGCCAAACACUGUCAGCUGUCACAUUC